rnacentral:rRNA from 2 species
ACUUAAAUUGAAGAGUUUGAUCAUGGCUCAGAUUGAACGCUGGCGGCAGGCCUAACACAUGCAAGUCGAGCGGUAGCACAGAGAGCUUGCUCUCGGGUGACGAGCGGCGGACGGGUGAGUAAUGUCUGGGAAACUGCCUGAUGGAGGGGGAUAACUACUGGAAACGGUAGCUAAUACCGCAUAACGUCGCAAGACCAAAGUGGGGGACCUUCGGGCCUCAUGCCAUCAGAUGUGCCCAGAUGGGAUUAGCUAGUAGGUGGGGUAACGGCUCACCUAGGCGACGAUCCCUAGCUGGUCUGAGAGGAUGACCAGCCACACUGGAACUGAGACACGGUCCAGACUCCUACGGGAGGCAGCAGUGGGGAAUAUUGCACAAUGGGCGCAAGCCUGAUGCAGCCAUGCCGCGUGUAUGAAGAAGGCCUUCGGGUUGUAAAGUACUUUCAGCGGGGAGGAAGGCGAUAAGGUUAAUAACCUUGUCGAUUGACGUUACCCGCAGAAGAAGCACCGGCUAACUCCGUGCCAGCAGCCGCGGUAAUACGGAGGGUGCAAGCGUUAAUCGGAAUUACUGGGCGUAAAGCGCACGCAGGCGGUCUGUCAAGUCGGAUGUGAAAUCCCCGGGCUCAACCUGGGAACUGCAUUCGAAACUGGCAGGCUAGAGUCUUGUAGAGGGGGGUAGAAUUCCAGGUGUAGCGGUGAAAUGCGUAGAGAUCUGGAGGAAUACCGGUGGCGAAGGCGGCCCCCUGGACAAAGACUGACGCUCAGGUGCGAAAGCGUGGGGAGCAAACAGGAUUAGAUACCCUGGUAGUCCACGCCGUAAACGAUGUCGAUUUGGAGGUUGUGCCCUUGAGGCGUGGCUUCCGGAGCUAACGCGUUAAAUCGACCGCCUGGGGAGUACGGCCGCAAGGUUAAAACUCAAAUGAAUUGACGGGGGCCCGCACAAGCGGUGGAGCAUGUGGUUUAAUUCGAUGCAACGCGAAGAACCUUACCUGGUCUUGACAUCCACAGAACUUAGCAGAGAUGCUUUGGUGCCUUCGGGAACUGUGAGACAGGUGCUGCAUGGCUGUCGUCAGCUCGUGUUGUGAAAUGUUGGGUUAAGUCCCGCAACGAGCGCAACCCUUAUCCUUUGUUGCCAGCGGUUCGGCCGGGAACUCAAAGGAGACUGCCAGUGAUAAACUGGAGGAAGGUGGGGAUGACGUCAAGUCAUCAUGGCCCUUACGACCAGGGCUACACACGUGCUACAAUGGCAUAUACAAAGAGAAGCGACCUCGCGAGAGCAAGCGGACCUCAUAAAGUAUGUCGUAGUCCGGAUUGGAGUCUGCAACUCGACUCCAUGAAGUCGGAAUCGCUAGUAAUCGUAGAUCAGAAUGCUACGGUGAAUACGUUCCCGGGCCUUGUACACACCGCCCGUCACACCAUGGGAGUGGGUUGCAAAAGAAGUAGGUAGCUUAACCUUCGGGAGGGCGCUUACCACUUUGUGAUUCAUGACUGGGGUGAAGUCGUAACAAGGUAACCGUAGGGGAACCUGCGGUUGGA